rnacentral:rRNA from 1 species
UACAGAGGUCUCAAGCGUUGUUCGGAUUCAUUGGGCGUAAAGGGUGCGUAGGUGGCGGGGUAAGUCAGGUGUGAAAUUUUGGAGCUCAACUCCGAAACUGCAUUUGAUACUGCCUUGCUUGAGGACUGGAGAGGAGACUGGAAUUCACGGCGUAGCAGUGAAAUGCGUAGAUAUCGUGAGGAAGACCAGUGGCGAAGGCGGGUCUCUGGACAGUUCCUGACACUGAGGCACGAAGGCCAGGGGAGCAAACGGG